rnacentral:rRNA from 1 species
UACGAAGGGGGCUAGCGUUGCUCGGAAUUACUGGGCGUAAAGCGCGCGUAGGCGGUUUGCUAAGUCAGGGGUGAAAUCCCCGGGCUUAACCUGGGAACUGCGCUUGUAACUGGCAGGCUUGAGUGCGGCAGAGGGGGGUGGAAUUCCACGUGUAGCAGUGAAAUGCGUAGAGAUGUGGAGGAACACCGAUGGCGAAGGCAGCCCCCUGGGUCGACACUGACGCUCAUGCACGAAAGCGUGGGGAGCAAACAGG